UACGUAGGGCGCAAGCGUUAUCCGGAAUUAUUGGGCGUAAAGAGCUCGUAGGCGGUUUGUCGCGUCUGCUGUGAAAGACCGGGGCUCAACUCCGGUUCUGCAGUGGGUACGGGCAGACUAGAGUGCGGUAGGGGAGAUUGGAAUUCCUGGUGUAGCGGUGGAAUGCGCAGAUAUCAGGAGGAACACCGAUGGCGAAGGCAGAUCUCUGGGCCGUGAACUGACGCUGAGGAGCGAAAGCGUGGGGAGCGAACAGG
rnacentral:rRNA from 1 species